GGGGGUGUAGCUCAGAGGUAGAGCAUUUGACUGCAGAUCAAGAGGUCCCUGGUUCAAAUACAGGCACCCUCU
rnacentral:tRNA from 2 species